UAUAAUUUUUGACUCUUCGUCUUAUUCAAAAAAUUUUGCGAUUGAUAUUUUUAUUUUUAUUAGAUGAUAAAUCAUAAAUAGUAUUUUACGUGUGAAUAAUUUUUUUCUAAUUUCUUAAAAAAAUUUUAAAUAAAACGGAUGGUCAAACGUUAGACACGGAAA
rnacentral:pre_miRNA from 1 species